UUGUGCCAAAGACGAGAUGAAAUCUAAAGCCUGCUUGACUUUUCCUUUGUGGGAAACAUCUACAGAUGAUCACCUUUCAGCUGUUUGAACACAUAGUGAGUGCCUGCCCUGCUAACUAACUUCUAAUUUCUGGUUGUUUCAAAGUCGAAUCUGUUUGAAUGUGAACCUUAAUGGCUAAUCCUUGGAGAAGCUGGUUGGUGACUGUUGUCCCCAGCUGAAAAGUUAGUUGAAGAAUAGUAAAUUUUAUCAUGUGGAUAAAAAAAAAAGGUUUCCACUUUACUUGACUCCUGGAGUGAAAAUGACAGAUUGAUGCCCCUGUUAGAGUGUGUAUCAGCAGCAGCAGUAAAGGAUGUUUGACCACCUCAAGGUUCAGCAAAGGGCACCAGUAUUCAGCAUUAAUAGUUUAUGAAUUUAGUGUAUGAGGCUGAAAAAUUUAGAGCCCCCUGUUCUCCUGUAAGUGACAGGAACAUGCUUGUACUAUGCUGCCCUCUUCUGGUCAAGAGUGAGACUGACAACUAUACUGUACUUCUCUUAUACUCUUUUACUUUGAAGACAGAGAGAAACUAUUGAUAUUGAACAACGUGGCAGACAUCCCAUUGGUUAUGGUUGAGUAAAAAGUACAAGUGGAAUUAAUAUGACAUGACAUUAAAGUGUCCCCACUUUCAUGGGGAGUUCCUGAUGAAGCCCAUUCAUGAGCAUGGUCGUGGGGGUGUGGGGAGGGUGUACCUGACUAGGGAGUAGAGAGUAGGUAGAGGGGCCCAUGAAUAUCCAAAUUUUUCUUUUUUUGCUCUUACACUGGCAUGGAUAGGGGCCCACUGACAUUGAGAGUGUACAGGGCCCAGAAUUUGAUGCUACGCCCUGAGCCCACUGAUAGCCUUCUUUAAUAAAUGUAUUAAAACACAUUUUUUGCUUUGAUUCAAACCUCUGCGGUCUGCCUUUACUUCCAUCCACUCAUCCGAAAACUUUCUCCCUGCUCCACAGACCUGCAAUCCCUGAGCUGUCCACCAGGUGUCCUCAGAUAUUCUCAACUGACUUCUUUAAUUUCCUGCUUACCUGCCCUCGCCUCUGUUAUGCUGCUUUAAAAGAUGUUUCUGGGGGGAGUUAAACAAGUUACAAGUUAAAGCAAAACAAGAAGUGCAAAUUUUAAUUUUG